rnacentral:rRNA from 1 species
UAAUACGGAGGGUGCAAGCGUUAAUCGGAAUUACUGGGCGUAAAGCGCUCGUAGGCGGCUUGUUAAGUCGGAUGUGAAAGCCCCGGGCUCAACCUGGGAACUGCAUUCGAUACUGGCAAGCUAGAGUAUAGUAGAGGCAAGUGGAAUUCCGGGUGUAGCGGUGAAAUGCGUAGAUAUCCGGAGGAACAUCAGUGGCGAAGGCGACUUGCUGGACUAAUACUGACGCUGAGGAGCGAAAGCGUGGGGAGCAAACGGGAUUAGAUACCCCGGUAGUCCACGCCGUAAACGAUGUCAACUAGCCGUUGGGGAGCUUAGUCUCUUUAGUGGCGCAGCUAACGCAUUAAGUUGACCGCCUGGGGAGUACGGUCGCAAGACUA